UACGGGGGGAGCAAGCGUUGUUCGGAUUUACUGGGCGUAAAGGGCGCGUAGGCGGCCUGGCAAGUCGAUGGUGAAAGCCCGAGGCUCAACUUCGGGUCGGCCACUGAUACUGCUGGGCUUGAGUCGACUAGAGGCAGAUGGAAUUCCGGGUGUAGCGGUGGAAUGCGUAGAGAUCCGGAAGAACACCGGUGGCGAAGGCGGUCUGCUGGGGUCGAACUGACGCUGAGGCGCGACAGCGUGGGGAGCAAACAGG
rnacentral:rRNA from 1 species